rnacentral:rRNA from 1 species
CGGAGAAUUAGGGUUCGAUUCCGGAGAGGGAGCCUGAGAAACGGCUACCACAUCUACGGAAGGCAGCAGGAGCGAAAAUUGCCCAAUCCCGACACGGGGAGGCAGUGACGAGAAAUAACAACUCUUGGAAUUUCUAAGAAGUGUAAUGAGGAUAGUUUAAAAACCUUACCGAAAGCAAUUGGAGGGCAAGUCUGGUGCCAGCAGCCGCGGUAAUUCCAGCUCCAAUAGCGUAUAUUAAAGUUGUUGCAGUUAAAAAGCUCGUAGUUGAAGUUCUGGCUGCUCGACCCUCGCGCUCUGUAGCCGAGGGCUCAGCAGUCAUCCGCUUGCAAACAUAUGUUCGCCCUUCACCGGGCGGCUAUGUGAGUAAGCAUUUUACCUUGAGAAAAACAGAGUGUUCCAGGCAGGUUUGUCCGGAAUGCAUUAGCAUGGAAUAAUAGAAUAUGACUGAAGUCGAUUUAUUGGUUUGAGGCUUUAGUAAUGAUUAAUAGGAACAGUCGGGGGCAUUGGUACUUGACAGUCAGAGGUGAAAUUCUUGGAUUUGUCAAAGACUAACAAAUGCGAAAGCAUUUGCCAAGGAUGUUUUCA